AGAACGAACGCUGGCGGCAUGCCUAACACAUGCAAGUCGAACGCGUGGCCGGACUUCGGUUUGGCCAUGAGUGGCGCACGGGUGAGUAGCGCGUGGGAACCUGCCCUGUUGUGGGGGAUAACCGAGGGAAACUUCGGCUAAUACCGCAUACGCCCUGGUGAGCGAUCAUCGGGGGAAAGAUUUAUCGCAGCAGGAGGGGCCCGCGUCGGAUUAGCUAGUUGGUGGGGUAACGGCCCACCAAGGCGAUGAUCCGUAGCUGGUCUGAGAGGAUGAUCAGCCACACUGGGACUGAGACACGGCCCAGACUCCUACGGGAGGCAGCAGUGGGGAAUAUUGGACAAUGGGCGCAAGCCUGAUCCAGCAAUGCCGCGUGAGUGAUGAAGGCCUUCGGGUUGUAAGCUCUUUCGCCCGCGACGAUGAUGACGGUAGCGGGAGAAGAGCCCGGCUAACUCGUGCCAGCAGCCGCGGU
rnacentral:rRNA from 1 species